AACGAACGCUGGCGGCAGGCCUAACACAUGCAAGUCGAACGCUCCGCAAGGGGGAGUGGCGCACGGGUGAGUAACACGUGGGAACCUACCUUCUGGUACGGAACAACCAAGGGAAACUUUGGCUAAGACCGUAUACGACCUCCGGGUGAAAGAUUGAUCGCCGGAAGAGGGGCCCGCGUCCGAUUAGGUAGUUGGUGAGGUAACGGCUCACCAAGCCUUCGAUCGGUAGCUGGUCUGAGAGGAUGACCAGCCACACUGGGACUGAGACACGGCCCAGACUCCUACGGGAGCCAGCAGUGGGGAAUAUUGGACAAUGGGCGCAAGCCUAAUCCAGCCAUGCCGCGUGAGUGAUGAAGGCCUU
rnacentral:rRNA from 1 species